rnacentral:lncRNA from 1 species
UCGUGUCGGUCGUAUCCAACACUCUUGCAAUUAUCUUUGUUGCAUUUCAAAUCUUUCAUGUGAGGAAGCACCGUGGCAUUGGUCCUAUGGUUUCACUUCUCAUGCUUGUUAUUCUAGCCCUGGGACACUUCAUCCCUUUGGUUCUAAACCUCGAAGCAACGUUCAUUCAGGAUAGCGAGAGAUCGAUCUUGAUUAGAGGUGGAACGUGGCUCGAAAUGAACGAGGUGAUCAUUAGAGUCGUCACAAUGGUGGCUUUUCUGCUGCAAGUCCGUCUUCUGAUNNNNNNNNNNNNNNNNNNNNNNNNNNNNNNNNNNNNNNNNNNNNNNNNNNNNNNNNNNNNNNNNNNNNNNNNNNNNNNNNNNNNNNNNNNNNNNNNNNNNCAUGGACUGCUAGAUGCUCCACUGAGAAGAAAAAGACCUUGUGGAUUGCAGAGAAAAGGGGGCUGUAUGUGUGUGUUCCAGUGUACGUAAUCGGAGCUAUUAUCGCCUUUUCGGUUAAGUCAAGGCAGAAUGUACACAGAACAGUAAGGGCAACGCAUUCUUGGUACUACAUAGAUGAAAUCAUUUUGGGGAAUUCAAGAGCUUAUGCUGGUUUGAUACUGGAUGCCUUUCUUUUCCCUCAAAUCAUCUUCAACAUGUUCCACAACUCGAGAGAACUGGCUCUUUCUCGACUCUUUUACAUCGGAAUCACCCUUGUUCGCCUCAUACCCCAUGGAUAUGAUCUGUACAGAGCAAACAAAUAUGCUGAUAUAGAUGACUCGUACAUGUACGGAGUUCAUGGUGCAGAUUACUACUCAACUGCUUGGGACUUCAUUAUUAUAUUGUGUUGGGUAUAUUCUUUGCUGUGAUCAUACACUACCAACAGCGCCUCGGUGGUCAAUAUUUCCUUCCGAAGAGAUUCCAAGAAUCUGUGAUAGAUGAGGAAUUUCAGAUAGAUGAGGAAUUUCCGGUAGAUUCGGAAGAACAAUUGCCAUUGUGAUAUAACACCUAGUGCAUGCUUUAAGUACUAAAUACUUUUGUUACCAUGGACUUGUUUUUAGUACUGAUUCGAAAUAAUAAAUAGAAAUGUUCUACAAAAUGUUCUAUUGUUGCUUGGGUGAGGGUUAGGUAAGAAUAUAUGUCCAAUAUGAAUAAAUUUGAAGAGUACGUCUCCUUAUCCAUGUUUAAAUAUAUAUCCAACAUGUUUAAAUAUGAAUAAAUUUGAAGAGUACAUCUCCUUAUCCAUGUUUAAAUAUGUAUCCAACAUGGAUACAAAGAGAAUAUUUAAACUGAUAAUAAUUCAUUAAUCAUACGAAGUCCAUAGAUAUGACCAUUCCAUCAUAGUGUACAAUGAGACUCAGACAUAAGACAAACAGGCAUGAAAACGCACUCAAUGUCUCAAACUACAACAACAAAACACCAAUUUAUUCAACUCAAUUUCAUUAUUUUUAGGUCCUAAUAUUGCUAUGGACUAAAACAUCAUGGUUCUAUGUCUACUUAAUGAGUGCCACAUGUGCAGUUUGUGCAGCUGCAGCUAUCUCCACACUUGCACUUGCCAUCGUUCCCUGCCACAGCCUUGACCACUACAGUGCUGAUGUAGCUGCAAAGAAAUAUCACAACAGAUUAUAUUUAAGCAUAUGUGUGUUGAGAGCUGGACUGCAAUGCAACAUGAAGCCAGCAGCUAUCGAGCUCAGCUCAUUUUGCUUGGUGCGCAAGAAUGAAACUCAACCGAAUGAAGCAACCGAUUUUAAUCAUUUUGUUGUAAUGAUAUUUAGCUUAGUUCAAUUGUAACCAACUCUUAAAGUUAGUAGGAUUAAGUUUAUGAUUUGAUUUUUGAUGUAAAAGCUGAUAUGUCAGCUUAUCUUUUUAGUUGUUUAAGUUUGUAUUAGUUAAGCAUUAGUGGAGGCAGUUAGAUUAUUAGGUAACUGUCAUUUGAGCCAAAAUUGUAACUCCUUUUUAUUUCAAAUUUGAAUGAAAAAAUGGCAAUGUUCAGUUACAAAAAAAAAUUUGUCUGUGCAUUCAAGUUUCUUGCUGUUCUGCUUGUUUUCCUUUUGCUCGAUCACCUUUGCUUCUGUCUUGUUACUUUGUUUGCUGUAAAUGCUGCCAAUGUUCCAACAAAUGGUAUCAUGAGCCUGAAUCUUUGAGGGGCCUUUGUAUGCAAUCUGUUGUGUUCAAAUUAAAACCAACAGCAAAGUUCAAGAUUUAAAAAGAUCGAAGCUUUUUAAACUCAGUCUAGCAGGAUGAAUUUUACUCCACCACCUCCACCAGUGUUCACUGGAGAAAACUAUCACAUUUGGAUAGUCAAAAUGAAGACUUACCUUCAGGCAUACGAUCUUUGGAGUGUGAUCGAGAAUGAUGCUGAACCACCUCCAUUGAGAGCUAAUCCCACUAUAGCACAAAUGAGACAGCAUGCAGAGGAGAGAGCCAAGAAGCACAAGGCUAUGGCUUGCUUGCAAAAUGGAGUCUCUGAUGUGAUAUUCACUCGCAUCAUGGCCUGUGACUCACCUAAGCAGGCCUGGGAGAAGUUGAAGGAGGAGUUCAUGGGAGUUCAUGGGGACUGACAAGACAAGGCAACAACAAGUGAUUAAUCUCAGGAGAGACUUUGAGAAUUUGAGAAUGAAGGAGUCUGAGACCAUCAAGUAGUACUCAGACAGGAUAAUGACCAUUGUCAACAGCAUUAGGCUCCUGGGAGUGGACUUCACAGAGAGCAGAAUUGUUGAAAAAGUUAUCACAACUCUCCCUGAGAAAUUCGAGUCAAAAAUCUCUUCACUUGAGGACUCAAGGGACUUAUCAGCCAUUUCAUUGUCUGAGCUGAUAAACUUCUUGUAUGCAUUUGAGCAAAGGAGGGCAAAUAGGCAGGAGGAGAAUCCUGAGGCUACUUUCCAGGCUAAAGCCAGUGAAAGCUCGAGUGUGAGUGCAAAAGGCAAGAAGCCUUGGCACAAUAGAAGGGUCAAGUCAGGAAGAGAUGAAGCAAAAAGAGUGUUCCCACCAUGUGUUCACUGCAAGAAGACAACACAUUCAGAAAAGUAUUGUUGGUUUAGGCCAGAUAUCCAGUGCAGAAAGUGCAAGCAGUUUGGCCAUGUUGAGAAGGUGUGCAAGGGCAAACCAAGGGAGGCUGCUCUGCAACAAGCUAGACCUGCUGAGGACAUGCAAGCUCAGGAGGAGCAUGUAUUCACAGCAACCUGUUUUGUUGGCACAACUAGGGCCAGCAAUGAUUGGCUACUAGACAGUGGCUGCUCACAUCAUAUGGCAGUAGAUGAGAAGCUGUUUAAGGGCCUAGACAGAAGCUUUCACUCGAGGAUCAGAAUUGGAGAUGGCAAGCUGAUUGAAGCUAAGGGCAAGGGCAAUGUGUUGGUUAGCACUGGUUCAGGUAAGAAGCUAAUAUCAUAUGUACUUUUUGUACCUGACUUAGACCAGAAUCUGCUUAGUGUAGGCCAAUUGGUUGAAAAAGGGUAUACCUUGGUCUUUAAAAAUGGUUGCUGCAUUGUUCAACACAUGAAUGGUCUGGAGUUAGUCACAGUCUCUAUGACUGAUAGGUGCUUCAUGCUGGAUGUUAGCCAAGUAGAAAGGAAGGCAUACACCAGCCUUGCUGACAACACUGACUUAUGGCAUAGGAGACUUGGCCAUACCAACUUCAGAUCUAUUUAUCUGCUACAUAGGCUAAAUUUGGUUGAUGACAUUUCAAAGAUUGAGGUUAGUGGGAAUGUUUGUGAGGUUUGUCAGCUUGGUAAGCAGGCUAUACUGCCUUUUCCUGCUGACAGUGCUUGGAGAGCUCAGAAUAAGCUCGAAUUGGUGCACUCUGAUGUUUGUGGUCCCAUAAGAAUACCUUCAAUCAAUGAGAACAGGUACUUUGUCCUGUUUAUAGAUGAUUUAACAAGGUUGUGCUGGGUCUACUUCUUGAAGCAAAAGUCAGAAGUGUUUGAAGCCUUCUGCAAAUUUAAGGCAUAUGCUAAAAAUCAGUCAGGCUGCAAAAUUAGAGCCUUAAGGACUGAUAAUGGCUCUGAAUAUGUGUCUGAGAGAUUUCAGAAGCUUUGUGACAAUGCUGGGAUUCAUCAUCAACUUACAACAGUCUAUACUCCUCAACAGAAUGGAGUCUGUGAGAGGAAGAAUAGGACUGUGCUGAACAUGGCCAGGUGUCUCUUGUUUAAAGGCAAGCUUCCAAGCCAGUUUUGGGCUGAGGCAGUUAACACCUCAGUGUACUUGCUCAACAGGCUACCAACUCGAGCAGUCAAGGAUAAGACUCCUUUUGAGGCCUGGCAUGGAGUCAAACCAGUUGUAACACACCGAAAAGUGUUUGGCUGUGUGUGUUAUACUCUUAUUCUAGUAGAGAAGAGGACUAAGCUCGAGAGUAGGGCUGCGCCAGGAAUCUUUGUUGGCUAUAGCAGCAACAAGAAGGGUUAUAAAGUGUAUGAUCCUACAGCAAAGAAGGUCUUAGUUAGCAGGGAUGUGAAAUUUGGUGAGGAUAAGGUGUGGAAUUGGAAUGGUGUUGAAGCUGAUAUGUCUGAAAUGGACCAGUUAGACUUGGUUGUUGAACCUGCAGAAGAAGGACUAAGUGAUGAUGCUGUUGAUGAUACACCAGUAAGGGGCACCAGAACUUUGGCUGAUGUUUAUUAGAGGUGCAAUUUUGCUGUGAUUGAGCCCUCAGACUUUGAAGAGGCUGUUAAGGACAAAAGCUGGAUGAAGGCUAUGGAAGCUGAGUUGGAAAUGAUCAAUAAAAAUCAGACAUAGGAAUUGGUGAGCAGACUAGAACACAAGAAGGUCAUAGGAGUCAAAUGGGUGUACAGGGCCAAGUACAAUGCUGAUGGCUCACUGAACAAGUACAAGGCUAGGCUUGUAGUGAAGGGCUACAGUCAGCAAUAUGGAGUGGAUUUUUUGGAGACAUUUGCACCAGUAGCAAGACUGGAUACAAUCAAGCUGCUAUUUGCUUUAGCAGCUCAGAAGAAGUGGAGGGUUCAUCAAUUUGAUGUAAAGUCGGCAUUCCUGAAUGGUUUUCUCAAGGAGGAGAUCUUCAUCGAGCAACCAGAAGGUUUUGAAGUUGCUGGACAUGAAGACAAAGUAUACAAGCUGAGAAAGGCCCUUUAUGGCCUGAAAUAGGCACCAAGGGCCUGGUAUGACAGAGUUGAUGCUUACCUGACCAAGCUUGGAUUUAUGAAGAGUCUUAGUGAGCCUACUCUGUAUGUUAAAAGGUCAGAAUUUGAAACCUUGCUGAUUGUCUCCUUGUAUGUGGAUGAUUUGUUAGUGACAGGGAGCAAAGUUGAGCUCAUUGAUGAGUUCAAGGUUCAAAUGCAGCAAGUGUUUGAGAUGACUGAUUUGGGGGUCAUGACAUACUUCCUUGGUAUGGAAGUUCACCAAUCUGAUCGAGGCAUCUUCAUCAGCCAACACACAUUUGCUUUGAAGAUUCUUGGCAAAUUUUGCAUGCAAAACUGUAAAGCAGCAAGUACACCUAUGGCUCAUGGAGAAAACUUGACUAGCAGUGGUGAUCAGCAAAGGGUGGAUGAGAGGCAUUAUCGAAGCCUAGUAGGCUGCUUGUUGUAUCUAAUAGCAACCAAGCCAGACAUCAUGUUUGGUGUUAGUUUGCUAUCGAGGUUCAUGCACUGCUGUAAUGAGACACAUUUGAAGGCUGCAAAAAGGGUUCUUAGAUACAUCAAAGGCUCAGCUAACCUUGGGGUGAUGUUUGAAAGUGGGAAGGAAUUAAAAUUGGAAGGCUACUGUGACAGUGACUGGGCAGGAUCCCUCGAUGACAUGAAGAGUACCUCUGGAUACUUCUUCACACUUAGAUCGGGCAUGUUUUGCUGGAGUUCAAAGAAGCAACAAACUGUUGCUCAGUCCACAGCUGAAGCAGAGUACAUUGCUGUAGCAGCAGUAGUCAAUCAGGCCAUUUGGCUUAGGAAGUUGCUUCAGGAUCUUAAUGAAACACAAGCUGAUGCAACUGAAAUUUGGGUGGACAACCAGACAGCAGUUGCCAUAGCCAAGAAUCCUGUGUUCCAUGGUAAAACUAAAUAUUUUAAAAUUAAACUGCAUUUUGUUCGAGAAGCUGGACAAGCAAAGGAAGUCAACCUUGUGCAUUGCAGCUCAGGGGCACAAUUGGCUGAUAUACUGACCAAACCCUUAGGGGCUGCUCGAUUUGAAUUAUUGAGAAGUGCAAUUGGAAUGUGUUGCAUACAGUCCAAGGAAGAGUGUUGAGAGCUGGACUGCAAUGGAACAUGAAGCCAGCGGCUAUCAAGUUCAGCUCAUUUUGCUUGGUGCGCAAGAAUGAAACUCGACCGAAUGAAGUAACCGAUUUUAAUCAUUUUGUUGUAAUGAUAUUUAGCUUAGUUCAAUUGUAACCAACUCUUAAAGUUAGUAGGAUUAAGUUUAUGAUUUGAUUUUUGAUGUAAAAGCUGAUAUGUCAGCUUAUCUUUUUAGUUGUUUAAGUUUGUAUUAGUUAAGCAUUAGUGGAGGCAGUUAGAUUAUUAGGUAACUGUCAUUUGAGCCAAAAUUGUAACUCCCUUUUAUUUCAAAUUUGAAUGAAAAAACGGAAAUGUUCAGUUGCAAAAAAAAAUUUGUCUGUGGAUUCAAGUUUCUUGCUGUUCUGCUUGUUUUCCUUUUGCUCAAUCACCUUUGCUUCUGUCUUGUUACAUUGUUUGCUGUAAAUGCUUCCAAUGUUCCAACAAUGUGUUCGACUGUGCAAGACAUAGCUCCUUUUUUUGCUUCUCUAGGCAAGAAUAUGAUUACUUAUCCAAAUGGGUUCAAUUUUGGUUAAAUUAUUCAAUAUUGGUCCUAAUAUACCUCUUUUCAGUCUCAAUGACCAAGCUAUUUCCUUUCUUCCUGUAAGCAUAACAAAAAAAGCCUUCAGUUUCAAUGAUAAUUGAUUGCAAACUCAUGCAUUUAGUCACAUCAACCUUAAUAAAUUUAUAUCUUAUCUAUGAAAAAAUUUAUAAUUAAAUUUCGACCGCUAUUAAAUAUUUUUUUUGAAUUUUCCCUAGUAGUAUGCAGCUAAAAACCAUGCAGAACUAACUUAGGAACAAUAACAAAAUCAAAGAACCACACACAACAGUAGAAACUGGUCGAAAGCUGAUGAUGGAAGGAUGAUUUCUUGCACGCACUGGCUCUUGUCAGAGUAGUCGCAGUUGCCGCACUUUCCAGACAUGGUGAAUUUGAAAGAGUUGAGAGGUAAAAAGUUUGUUUGAGUUUCUAAAGUAGUUAAGCUAACUUGCGAUGUAUAUCUAAAGCUAUGCACUUGUUGUAUUUAUAGAAGAGGAAGUACAUUGAAAUGGUGCAAAGGGAAGGCAUCUGUAGGGGCCCAAGCAGGCAUAAGAGAAGCACACGCCUCUGUUACAAGAGUUCAAAGGAAAGGAAUCUUUGUUGGAACAAUGGCAGCAUGUAUCAACCCAAUUAGCAAGCAGAACCAAAUGAGAUCGAAGCAGAAAAGAAAACAAAGCAAAAACAAUAAACAAGACUUGAAUAUUCAGCAAAAUGUAACUGAACAACUUAACUUUUUCAUUCAAAUUUGAAAAACAUAUACUGGAGUUACAAUUUGACUUAGUUGAUAGUUACCUAAUGAUAUAACUGCUCCCACUUAAACUAAACUAAUACAAGCUUAAGUCAAAUACAAAGAUAAGCUGACAUACCAGCUUUUACAUAAAAAAUCCAAUCACAAACUUAAUCCUACUAACUUUGGAAGCUAGUUAAAACUGAACUAAGUAAAAUUACAUAGCAACAAAAUGACCAAAUUAGAUUACUUCAUUCGGUCCAGUUUCAUCCUUGCGCACCAAGCAAUGCUGCUGAGCUCGAUGGCCAACCAUGCUGCUGGUUUCAUGCUGUAAUACAGUCCAGCUUUUAACACUCCUCAUUGGACUGUAUGUAACACAUACCAAUUGCACUUCUCAAUGCCUCAAAGCAAGCAACUCCUAAUGGCUUAGUUAGCAUAUUAGCCAAUUGUGCCCCUGAGCUACAAUGAACAAGGCUGACUUCCCUUGUUUGCUCAGCCUCUCGAACAAAAUGCAACUUAAUCUUAAAGUGCUUAGUUUUACCAUGGAACACAGGGUUCUUAGCUAUGGCAACUGCUGAUUAAUUGUCCACCCAAAUCUCAGUUGCUUCAGCUUGAGUUUCAUUAAGGUCUUGAAGCAGUUUCCUAAGCCAAAUGGCCUGAUUAGCAGCUGUUGCAGCUACAAUGUACUCUGCUUCAGCUGUAGAUUGAGCAACAGUCUAUUGCUUCUUUGAACUCCAGCAAAACACAUUCGAUCCAAGUGUGAAGAAGUAUCCAGAGGUACUCUUCAUGUCAUAAAGGGAUCCUGCCCAGUCACUGUCUGAAUAACCUUCAAGUUUCAACUCCUUUCCACUUUUAAACUUUACACCAAAGUUUGCUGUCCCUUUGAUGUAUCUAAGGAGCCUCUUUGCAGCCUUCAAAUGAGCCUCAUUACAGUAGUGCAUGAACCUUGAUAGCAAACUGACACCAAAUACAAUGUUUGGCCUAGUUGCUGUUAAAUACAACAGGCAACCUACUAGGCUUCGAUACUGCCUUUCAUCAACCCUUUCUUGAUCGCCACUGCUAGUCAGUUUUUCUCCUUGAGCCACAGGUGUGCUUACUGUUUUACAGUUCUGCAUACAAAAUUUAACAAGGAUCUUCAAAGCAAAUGUGUGUUGGCUGAUGAAGAUGCCUCGAUCAGACUGGUGCACUUCUAUUCCAAGGAAGUAUGUCAUGAUCCCUAAGUCAGUCAUCUCAAACACUUGCUGCAUUUGAACCUUGAACUCAUCAAUGAGCUUAGUUUUGCUCCCUGUCACUAAUAAAUCAUCCACAUACAAGGAAACAAUCAACAAGGUCUCCUGUUCUAACUUCUUAACAUAAAUGGUAAGUUCAUUAGGACUUUUCACAAAUCCAAGUUUGGACAGAUAGGUGUCAACUCUGUCAUACCAGGCUCUUGGCCUGCUUCAGGCCAUAAAGAGCCUUUCUCAGCCUGCACACCUUGUCUUCAUGUCCAGCAAUCUUAAAUCCAUCUGGUUGCUCAAUGAAGAUCUCCUCCUUGGGAAAACCAUUCAGAAAUGCUGAUUUCACAUCCAAUUGGUGAACCCUCCAAUGUUUCUGAGCUGCUAAAGCAAAUAGGAGCUUGAUUGUGUCCAGUCUUGCUACUGGUGCAAAUGUCUCCAAGAAUUCAACACUAUAUUGCUGAUUGUAGCCCUUCACCACAAGCCUAGCCUUAACACCUAUGACCUUCUUAUGGUGUUACGCCUAGUCUUAACACCAUAUUGCUAUUAAUUGUGCUUGUUCAAUGAGCCAUCACCAUUAUAUUUGGUUCUGUACACCCACUUAACACCUAUGACCUUCUUGUGGUCUUGUCUGUCACUAAUUCCCAUGUUUGAUUCUUGUUUAUCAUCUCCAACUUAGUUUCCAUAGCUUUCAUCCAGUUCCUAUCUUUGGCAGCCUCUUCAAAAUCUGUAGGCUCGAUCACAGCAAUACUACACCUCUAAUAAACAUCAGUCAAGGUUCUGGUGCCCCUCACUGGUGUAUCAUCAAUAGCAUCAUCAAUUGGUCCCUUUUCUGUAUGCUCAAUAACCAAGUCCAUCUGAUCCAUUUCAAACAUGACUGCCUCAGUACCAUUCCAGUUCCACACCUUUUCUUCAUCAAAUUUCACAUCUCUGCUGACUAAGACCUUCUUUGUUGAAGGAUCAUACACUCUAUAACCCUUCUUGUUACUGCUGCAGCCAACAAAGACUCAUGAAAUAGCUCUGCUCUCGAGCUUGGUUCUCUUUUCCACUAGAACAUGUGCAUAGCACACAUAGCCAAAAACUUUCAGGUGAGUUACCACUGGUUUGACUCCAUGCCAAGCCUCAAAAGGUGAUUUACCCUUGACUGCUCGAGUUGGCAGCCUAUUGAGCAGGUAUACUGAGGUGUUGACUGCCUCAGCCCAAAACUGACUUGGAAGCUUGCUUUGAAACAACAAGCAUCUGGUCAUGUUUAGCACUGUUCUAUUUUUCCUUUCACAAACUCCAUUCUGUUAAGGAGUAUAGACUGUUGUAAACUGAUGGUGAAUCCCAGCAUUUUCACAAAGCUUCUGAAAUCUAUCAGACACAUAUUCAGAGCCAUUAUCAGUCCUCAAGGCUCUAAUUUUACAACCUGACUGAUUUUCAGCAUAUGCCUUAAAUUUGCAGAAGGCCUCAAAUACCUCUGACUUUUGCUUCAAGAAGUAGACCCAACACAACCUUGUUAGAUCAUCUAUAAACAGGUAAAAUACCCGUUGUCACUGAUUGAAGGUGUUCUCAUAGGACCACAAACAUCAGAAUGCACUAAUUCGAGCUUAUCUUGAGCUCUCCAAGCACUGUUAAUAGGAAAAUGCAGUCUAGCCUGCUUACCAAGCUGACAAACCUCACAAACAGUCCCACUAGCUUCAAUUUUAGACAUGUCUUCAACCAAAUUUAGUCUAUGCAACAUAUCAAUGGAUCUGAAAUUAGCUUGGCCUAAUCUCUUAUGCCACAAGUCAGUGCUAUCAGCAAGGCUGGUGUAUGCCUUUCUUUCCACUUGGCUAACAUCCAGCAUGAAGCAUUUAUCAGCCAUAGAGACUGUAACUAGCUCCUGACCAUGCAUGUCUUGAACAAUACAAUAGCCAUCCUUAAAGACCAAUGUAUAGCCCUUUUCAACUAAUUGGCCUACACUAAGCAAGUUCUGGUCUAAGUCAGGUACAAAGAGCACAUCAGUGAUUAGCUUGUUACCUGAGCCAGUGUUGACCAACACAUUGCAUUUGCCUUUAACCUCAAUUAGCUUCCCAUAUCCAAUUCUGAUCUUCGAGUAGAAGCUUCUAUCUAGCCCUUUAAACAGCUUCUCAUUAGCUGCCAUAUGGUGUGAGCAGCCACUGUCUAGUAGCCAAUCAUUGCUGGCCUUUGUUGUACCAACAAAACAGGUUGCUGUAAACACAUGCUCCUCUUGAGUUUGCAAAUCCUCAGCAGGUCGAGCCUGUUGCUGAGUGACCUCCUUUGGCCUGCCCUUGCACACCUUUUCCACAUGACCAAACUGCUUGCACUUCUUGCAUUGGAUGUCUGGCCUAAACCAACAGUAUUUUUCUGAAUGAGUUGUCUUUUUGCAGUGAACACAUGGUGGAAACACCCUUUUUGCUUCAUCUCUUCUUGGUUUGACCCUCCUAUUGUGCCAAGGCUUUUUGCCUUUUGCACUUGAACUCGAGCCUUCACUGGCUUUUGCCUGGAAAGUAGCUUUAGGAUUUUCCUCCUGUCUAUUUGCCCUCCUUUACUCAAGUGCAUACAGGGAGUUUAUCAGCUCAGAAAAUGAAAUGGCUAAUAAGUCCCUCGAGUCCUCAAUUGAAGAGAUCUUUGACUCAAAUUUCUCAGGGAGAGUUGUGAUGACCUUUUCAACAACUCUGCUCUCUAUGAAGUCCACUCCAAGGAGCCUUAUGCUGUUGUCAAUGGCCAUUAUUCUGUCUGAGUACUGCUUAAUGGUCUCAAACUCCUUCAUCCUCAAAUUCUCAAAGUCUCUCUUGAGAUUGAUCACCUGUUGCUGCUUUAUCUUGUCAGUCCCCAUGAACUCCUCCUUUAGCUUCUUCCAUGCCUGCUUUGGUGAGUCACGGGCCAUGAUGCGAGUGAAUAUCACAUUAGACACUCCAUUUUACAGACAGGCCAUAACCUUGUGCUUCUUGGAUCGCUCCUCAGCAUGCUGCCUCAUUUGAGCAAUAGUGGGAUUGGCUCUCAAUGGAGGUGGUUCAGCUUCAUUCUCGAUUCCACUCCAAAGAUCGUGUGCCUGGAGGUAUGUCUUUAUUUUAACUAUCCAGAUAUGAUAGUUUUCUCCAGUGAACGCUGGUGGAGGUGGUGGAGUGAAACUCAUUCUUCUUGUUUGAGUUUAACUGCUUUAAUCUUCUCUAAUUUUAAGCUUUGCUUUUGGUUUUGGUUUGAACACAACAAAAUGCAAAGGCCCCUCAAAGACUCGGGCUCAUGAUACUAUUUGUUGGAACAAUGGCAGCAUGUAUCAACCCAAUUAGCAAGCAAAACCAAAUGAGAUCGAAGCAGAAAAGAAAACAAAGCAAAAGUAAUAAACAAGACUUGCAUAUUCAGCAAAAUGUAACUGAACAACUUAACUUUUUCAUUCAAAUUUGAAAAACAUAUACUGGAGUUACAAUUUGACAUAGUUGACAGUUACCUAAUGAUAUAACUGCUCCCACUUAAACUAAACUAAUACAAGCUUAAGUCAAAUACAAAGAUAAGCUGACAUACUAGCUUUUACAUAAAAAAUCCAAUCACAAACUUAAUCCUACUAACUUUAGAAGCUAGUUAAAACUGAACUAAGUAAAAUUACAUAACAACAAAAUGGCCCAAUCAGAUUACUUUAUUUGGUCCAAUUUCAUCCUUGCGCACCAAGCAAUGCUGCUGAGCUCGAUGGCCAACCAUGCUACUGGUUUCAUGUUGCAAUGCAGUCCAGCUUUCAACAAUCUUGAUAAUGGAGGCAAAGGAAUGGUUGGCUUACUGUCCUCCUUUUAUGUCUAUAUCAUUUGGAAUUUUCUUUUAGGUUGUCUUUUAGAAUGUAAUCCCAAAAUCUAUGCAAUACGGACUCUACCCAAAAAGAAAAAUCAAAUUCAACUUUGAAUUGGUGCUGCCUUAUCAGGAUCAUAGUUUUCAAAGACAUUAGGAUUUUGAUCUAAAUAAAAAUCUUACAAAUAAAUAAGUGAUGUGUAUUUGAGAGCACCAAAAAUAUCCUAUUCCUAUAAAAUAACAAAAAGAAUAAUAUAAGGUAAGUAGGGUCAAAUCCUUAGGGACUGGACUUGCACAAGUUCCUUUUUCUCGAGAAACUAAGUAGUGUCGUGCCCAAGAAAAACGACAUACCUGAAAAAAAUAGAAUUAAAAGUUUGGUUGAAUUGACAUUACGUAAAUUGAAAUUAAAAUUGUAAAAGUAAAUAGAGUUGAGAAAAGAGAGUUUUUGAUGGAGAGAUUUCAACCUUCGAUUAUCUCGAUCCUCUUUCGGUUCAAUCCUAGGCUUUUAGGUGAUCCUUCUCGAACAGAAUAAGCCAGUUAUAAUGGAAGAGGAUGCCUACGACCACUAGCUCCACUUAAGUUUUAGACUUACGAUUUAGAGGAACUUGACCCUAGCCAACCAUUGCUUCUGUGGACCGUCUUACACUAGAUCAUCACUUCUCAAUGGCGAAUGCCACACUAUCUUGUCUCUUGGGCUCGACAACCACUGACACAGUAGGCUAACGAACUGACUAUGCAACCUUAUCAACACAUACAAAGCGGCCGCCUUUGCACAAGAUUAAAAAAUAACUUUUGAAGGGACAUGGACGAAGUGUCAGUCCUGUAGUACGGAGAAACGAUGAAUACUCGUUGAAAAGACUAAGUUCAGAUUCUAAGCCUCAUGAAUCCUUUUGGGGAAUCUCAAAAACCUUUGGCUAGAUUAAUUUAGUGGCUCAUGCUUUUUGGGAAAAAAGAAAUAAAAUUAAUAAAAAUGAAAUUUUAUUGAAUAAACGAAAGGAACAAAGCUAGAGCUUUUUGGGAGAGGGAGCUUUUACAGAAAAGAUAGUGAAAUUGGUGUCAAUCCAUCCCCUAUUUAUAGUACUCAGAAGACAUAGUUUAUUCCUAUCUAAAUUUUAAAAGAUAAAUAAAGAUAAAAUCUAAAAUUAAAUCUUAACAAUAAUCCUAAUAUAAUUAAAAUUUAAAUAGAGUAGUGUGUUUAUAAAAUCUCUUCUUUAAACUGUUGCCCCCCAAGUCUUCCACACUUUGCAUUUUCAGCACCAUUUCUUUCCUAGUUCGCAUGUUGGCCCAUUUUAUCUUCAAAUUCAUGCUUUUGGCCCCUAAAUUUUAUUUUUCCUUCAAUUUAGUCCCUACAAAAUAAAACACCAUAAAUAGCUCAAAAUAGUAGGAUCAUACUCAAAAUAAAUAUGUAAUUAAUACAUAAAAAUAUGUCAUUCCAGAGUAUUACCAAUAAGAAUUAAUUGCACUAAAAAUUUUAAAACGUUCUAAUUAUGUCUCCACACUAUCACACUAUCGUACUGUAACAGAGUCAGUUGACAUAGGAGUCCAUGCGUUAUAAAACAGAUUUAUCAAAACUUAACAAAUAAUAUCAGAUUUUUCAUGAAGUCACAUGCACGGUUAUAAGUUAGAGUCAAUACCAAUCAAUUCAACAUAUUCGUAUAUCACAUGUUCUUAAGCAACAAAGUAACGUAAAGGAACACCAACAAACUUAACUGAAUACAAAUUGUACCUAGAUAAUUCCCAUGCAUUAGGCAAGGGCACAUUAUGUUCUGACAGACCCUACUUACUUAGGUUCAACAUAGCAGACAUAUGUAUAGAUCACAAGUUAUUCAUCAUUAGAUUAUCAGAUAUCAAAUUAUAUAGCUUAAUUAUGAUCGUACGGACCCUACAGUAGGCCUGUGUUCGUUUCGAAUGAUGCUUGUGGCCUGAGGAAAAAAUUUCAAAUAUUGGUCCACACGUUUGUGUGGUUUCACAUGGCUUGGAAAGCUGGCUCGCGUGCCUCCAUAUGGUUUGGCACACGCCCGUGUGCUUACCCGUGUGGUCCUAAUUUGCAAAUAGUGGGUUACACGGCCUAGACACAUGCUAGUGUCAUUGGCCUAUGUGAAUCCUACUCAACACAUAAACACACAUGGUCUGGACACACUCCCUGACACAAACUUUAAAUCAAACUUAUAGGUAACGAAUUGAACCAGAAAGUAGAAGUCUAAUCUCGUACGUGAUCAAUUUGGCGUAACAUAACAAAAAAGAAAGGUAGUUUGAAGAGAGUAAUCAAAACGAAAAAAAUAAAGAAAGAACAGAGGAAUGGUAACAAUAGAAACGAAAAGUAAAAAGAAAAACUAAACAUAGGUCAUUAAACCAGCAAGCUCAUUCUUGUCAUCAAUUGACUAAAUUUAACUUUUAACCCACAUGUCCAAAGACAGUGGUUUAAUCAAAGUAGCAAAAUUUCAAGAGAUAAGAUUCGGACCUAGAACCUCACAUACAUAAUUAGAACACUUAACCACUAAACCAAACUAAUUUACUUACCAAAAAUUUCCAAAGUCUAAACUCAAAUCGAGGGAUGACCACUCUUGGUUUCAAAACUCAAUUUCUUCUAACCCGAUUUUUGGGAUGUUACAUAUAUCACAUAUGUUGACACCACUUACUGGGGGUGCUAAGGCUUCUUUUGCCUGCCCCAACUAUACCCCUGAUUUUGUUUUCUCAAAUUUCACUUUCUCAAGAAAUGUUCCAUUUGACAACCAAAAUGGUAGCAUCUAGGUUGGGAAGAUUGAUGGAGAAUUUCACCUUUGCCUCAUUUAAAAAGUAUAAAUUCCUUAUCUUCAUGCAAGUCAUGAAUUCAAAAAAAGUGAAGAGAACAAAUUGAGAAAAAAAAAAAAAACUAUAUUCUUUUAAGAUUGCUAUCCUAUAGAAAGGUCAUUGUAAAAAGUUGAAUAUAUAUGUAUGUAUAUAGCUAGUAGCAUCAAAUUUUCCCAACCACUCUUAACAAUUAAAUAUAAUUAUUUGGUAUAUUGAAAGUGAAAUUUAAAUUUCCAUGUGAUAUUUAAAAACCGUAACAUGUUCUUAAUAAAUAUUUAUUUAUGAUAUAUAUAAAAACAUGAAUUUGAAGGAGGGGUGAAUAAAACUCGAUUCGAUUCGAAAAAUUAAAAAAAUUUAAAUUUUGAAUUAAUCGAUCAAGUUAUUCAAAUUUCGAGUUUGAGUCAAAUUAAAUUUUACAAUUUGAAUAACAGAUUUGUAUAAAAACCCUUUUGGUCCUUAUCAAUUUUGAAAAUGAGUAAAUUGGUCCCUCUCAACAAAACUUACAAAAAAAUUAAAAUAAUUUUCAAAAAUUCAAAAAUUUAUAUUUUUUAAAAAAUUAUAAAUUUUAAAAAAUUCUAAAGAAUAUAUAAAGAAAGUUAAAAUUUUAAAUUUUCUAAAAUAAUAAAUUUGAGAUCUAAAUAAGUUAAUUAAUAGGUUUGAGUUUAUCAUAUUAAAAUACCUUUUUUUUUUCUUUGCUUUGAAAAAGUUUUCAUAUAUAUAUGGUUUCAAAUUUAUGUGCUCUAACAUGAAAUUAGUUAUAUUGAAACAAUAUUUUAAUUUGACAUGUUUAAUUUUUUUAAUUUAACUUGAACAAUUUCACUCGACUUGAUUCGACUUGACUCGAAUUUCAUUUCACUCAACUUGAUUCAAAAAAAUUUUCAAAUCAAGUUAGGAUGAUAAAAUAAGACUUGUCAGUUCGAUUAACUUCGAAAUUUUUUCACUCGUUUCCAUCAAAUGCUCACUCCUAAUGUGAAGAAACUUUUGAACAGAUGAUGAUACUUUUUAUUAUUAAUUAUACUACUAAAUUGACAUUAAAAAUAAUUUAUUAGUAUCUUUUUCUGGUAGAUAAUAAUGAAUAUUAAUGUGAUAAUAAUGAAAGUAAUAUUAAUUAAUAGAAGAGUAUAUUAAUGUGAAAUUAAAUAAUUUCAGUAUAUCUUUUAAAAGUUCAUAAAAAAUUAUAUAUAUUAUUAAUAAUUAAAAUUUUAAAAUUUAUAAAAUAAAUUAAUGUAAUUAGAUAAAUUAAAAAAAUAAACAAAACUUUUUAAUUAAAUAGAUAUAAUUUUUAUAUAUAUUUAUGAUUUUAUUUUAAAUAUGAAAAUAAUUAAUCAUGUUAAAAUUAAUUUUUUAUAAUUAAUAAAAAUUAAAUCUAUAAAUAUGAUUUUAUUUUCAAUAUGGUAAUAAUUAUUUUACUAAUAAUGCUUUCAUUAUUAGUGUAAUAGUGAUUAUCACUUAAUUAUACUUUGAAUCCAUAUUAAAUUACGCUUAUUAUUUUAGAUUAUCACUUUACUAGUGUUACAAUUAUAUGCCAAUUAAAAUUAAUAUUUAACACUAUAAAUAUAUGCAUUAGUAAAAUAUUUUCAUUCAAAUAACAUCUAAAGAAUUACUCGAAAAAUCAUAUUUUAGGAUUUUAUUUGCAUCACAAAAAAAUGUAUGAUUAUUAUUAUUUUAUAAGAUUAGUUGUUAUUAUUUGAUAUUCGAAAGUUUUACUGUUAUUUGAUUUUAAUAACACUUAUGCUAACGAUGUAUAGAAUAAUUACUUUUUUUCUUACCAAACUUAAUUUUUUUUUUUGAAAUAUCUCAAUAUAGGUUCUAAUUAUAUUUGUUCAUCUUGACACAAUACUUAGAACUACUUACAACCCAUCCCCAACCCAUGAAUAGGAGGAUAAUGCGUUUCAGCGCACUCGAAUCCAAUUUCUCCUAUAUUGACAACAAUACCUAUAUUAAUCAAAUUAACACUCAAUCGACACCAAAUUUUAAUUUUUUAAUUUAUUAUUAAUUUAAAAUUUCGUAUCACCUAAACAAAAGGAGUGGGUUUGGAAAGAGUUACAAAAUAAAGCAAAUGGAAAUAAAAUCAAAGUUUGAAAAAAAUGGCUUGGAAGGUACAACUUGUGCUCUAUCUAUUUCCCUUUUUGUGUGGAAUUCCACUUAUUUAAUCAAUUAUCUCAAAAAGGUAGAAUUACAAAAUUCACCUCUAAUGUUCGUGAGUUUUUCACCUUGGCUCUUAACUUUUUUUUUUCUUCACUUUCCCACCCAUAGUGUUGCAAACAAUUUCAAGUAAGGCCAAACUUAAUGAAAAUCGUCAAGAAAUAUCAACAAAUAUUUUUGUCCAACGUGGCAACACCUUAGUUGAUGACAUCAUUGAUGACACAAAAUUUUUAGUUUAAAAUUAUAAAAAUUUAAAAAGAAGAGAAAAUUUUUAAAAUGUAGGAAAUAACAAAAUGUAAAAGCAUUUUUCUUCUACCCUCUCCCAAAUGUAACACGCCUAACCUGUAUUCGUCGCUGGAUUAGGGUUACAAUGUAUUACCGAUCAAGACAUAACUUUCAAACAAUUAUAUAUGCACACCUGUUAUAUUCAAAUUAAUAAAACAAAUGACUGAUUACAUAUUAAAUAUACAUUAUUAAUCGCAAAACAAAUAUAAUAUCUCAUGCAUAUAAUCAUAUUUACAACUUAAUAAUCAUGUACUUCAAAAUAAAUGCACGAAUCGUGUGCUUAUCAUUAAAAUGGUAUUUAAAUACAUAAUAAAUUUUAAACAUUUUAUUUCUUAAUAAUAACCAUGCACUUAAUAGACCAAACAAAUCAUAUCACAAAGCUUAUGCCCAAUCUCAUAUGCGGCAUUAACAAAUGUACCAAUUGAUUUAAUAUACUUCAUUGAGUAAUCAAUUAUAUGCACACGAUGUCAAUCAUACAAUCCUCAAUUCGGCUAGCCAAUUAACCUAUAAAAGCUGAACUCAAAUCAUGCAAUACUAACAUUAGCCGAAUCUGCAUGUGCAUAAAUACUAAUUUUAAACUUAUUUUCAAUUCAACUAUACAUCAAUAUAUAAUACUAAAACAUGCUUAUCUUCUUAUUACAAGAUUAUACGCAUAUGCAUACACCAACUGAGCCAUUUCCGAACAUCCAUUAUCCGAACCUAUUGACUAAAUAUUUUAGUCUUUGUACUCCUAUAAUAAACGUCAAUCAUAUUUCAUUUUCAUAUGCAUAACCAAAUUGAAUAACUUUAUAUAUGAAACAUCAACUUAAUAAUCCAAUAUUUCAUACUAUUUCUAACAAAAACGCUAUAUACGCAUAUAUUUAAUUUAUAAAAUACCAAAGAUGGUCGAUAGUGUGAUAGAAUUUUUUGACGAUCCCCGAGCUCGUAACCAACUUUCAAAAUCUAAAAAAAAACAAAGAGCAAACAUACACAUAGUAAGCUUUCACAGCUUAAUAAGUCAUAAGCAAUGGAAACAUUUAAUCAUAUACAAAAUUAAUCUAGUCAAACCGAAAUAAACCAUUAGUAACUCAUAUACCUUUCCAACUUAUAAUUUCAUAAGUCAAAACAUAUAAGUUUUGCAUAAAAUUCUCCUUUGACCGAAUACCCAUUCAAAUAUUAGUACACUUAACCAUUACUUUUUAUAAUACAUUUACAUUUACAUCAUUAGGCCUAACAUAUAUUAUCACAAAAUUCACAUUAAAAUAUAACAUUAUACUAUCAAUUCAACAUUCAACUUACCUUAUUUCUUUUUAUAUAACUAAUUAGUAAGAGUACGUAUCUGAGCAUUUCUAGCUUGAUUUUUCACUCGAUCUUAAUUUAUUAUUGUCCGUUGAACCAUUCGGAAUUAAAAAGGAUCUUAACUAUAAAUAUCUGCAUUAGUAAAAUAUUUUCAUUCAAAUAACAUCUAAAGAAUUACUCGAAAAAUCAUAUUUUAGAAUUUUAUUUGCAUCACAAAAAAUGUAUGAUUAUUAUUGUUUUAUAAGAUUAGUUGUAAUUAUUUGAUAUUCGAAAGUUUUACUAUUAUUUGAUUUUAAUAACACUUAUUCUAACGAUGUAUAGAAUAAUUACUUUUUUUUACCAAACUUAAAUUUUUUUUGAAAUAUCUCAAUAUAGGUUCUGAUUAUAUUUGUUCAUUUUGACACAAUACUUAGAACUACCUAUAACCCAUCCCCAACCCAUGAAUAGGAGGAUAAUGUGUUUCAGCGCACUCGAAUCUACGUUCUCCUAUAUUGACAACAAUAUCUAUAUCAAUCAAAUUAACACUUAAUCAACACCAAAUCACAAAAGAGAUAAGAGUUGAGAAAUGUUUAACAAAUACUGAAGAAGUCUUUGAUGACGACAUUGAUAACAAGCAAGAAAAAGUCAUAAAUCUAAAGUUCAAAUUAACACUUUACAAUUUUGAAUAACUAAAAUAUUUUAAACUAUUAAAUACUAUAAAAUAUUUUAUAUUUUUUUAGUAUUUUUUAUCUUUAUUUUAUUGUACAUAUUUGAGGUUUAUGAUUUUCUCUCUCAACAAUAUUGUCUCAAAAAUUUAAAUGAUGUGACUUAUCAUUGUAGGCAUUUGAUUGGUCCAAAUCAAAAUAUAACUCUUUCAACUGUGUGNNNNNNNNNNNNNNNNNNNNNNNNNNNNNNNNNNNNNNNNNNNNNNNNNNNNNNNNNNNNNNNNNNNNNNNNNNNNNNNNNNNNNNNNNNNNNNNNNNNNAUAUGAAUGAAAAGAAAUUAUAUAAUUAAUAUAUUAAUUAAAAAAAUUAUAUAAUGAGUAUUUACGGAUUGACUUAGCUAUAAUAAUAAUCAUAACCACUCGUUAUUGGAUUGAGGUUGAACACAAGUCUUGACUCUAAAACUUUAUUUAAUGUGAUAAAAUAUAAAUAAGUAUUAUUCAUACGAAUUUUUCCGCAAGCUCUUGUUCUUGGAAAUUUCCUAUGUCCAGUGAGAGAUGUACGGUAAUAACUAUAUAUUUAUGAUCAAUUUCGAAGUUUUUGCAAUAAGUUCUUAAUCACAGUCUUUCUGUCUGAAGAAAUUCAUGUCUAUGGCUGUGGACUGUUCCAUAUUCUGUAGGACGAAACUUUGUUUUAUUAAUGCUUUCUUCUUCCUGUUUAUCAUCUCCUCUUUCACAUGUCUUCAUGUAGUCUUCGGCACUGCAAAUGAAUUUGAUUAUGGCCUUCACUGUAACUCAAUUGUUCAUGAAUCCAAACCAGCUGAUGAGGAGUUCAAUAUCAUGCCUUUCUCUCGACGUCAAUAUGGUUACUUCAGUGGUGGUGAUAAAGACCCAAACAAUCCUCCUUCACGUUCGUACUCUGCACCCAAAUCUAAAAGGCUCCUUUUUGAGACUCACCACGUAUUUACAGCCGAAGCUGAUGAUGUCUUUAUGGUGGAAGGAAACCUGAUUUUUCAAACCUCGUUUUACUAUGAACGGAGUAUCUCCUCUGGAAGCUCAUACGUUAUAAGUUCAAGCGACCGUGGGACACUGGACUUCGAUUUUCGAGGCUUCUGGUCUCGAACAACCGGGAAGCUUUGCAUGGUGGGAUCGAGUCAUGCUUACUCCAAAGAAGGUAAACUGCUUCACCUUGCUGCUGUUCUUAAGAUUAAUAAUCUUCAGACUUCAAGUAAUAUUAGUACUUUAGUCACCGGUACCAUGGAUAGCUUGAGUUCUGCUAAUGAUCCAAAUCACUUUGAGCAAAUAUCACUGCUGAUGUUUCCUCGAGUAAAUUACGCUUACACCAUGAUUUCAAAUCAGUUCAGUGAAGGGUGUCCUGGGGGAAUCGAUGUCCAACCGAUGUCGUCCCUCCGCUUAUCGCAAACUCGAACUAUUUGUGAUAUGUUAGGUGGAAGCAAUGCUUUCAAAUUGGAGUAUACUGGCAGUUGUAAUUUUUCAAAGAGUUGCAAUCCAUUUGGUGAUGGUAUUGGAUCAGUAGUAUCAUUGCGUAUGAUUCAGUGCUCAAACGAUAGGCAAAGCUUGAGGCUUCUGAUAGAAUUUCGGAACGAUAGCUAUCAGGGAUACUAUAGCUCUCCCAAUCUCAACACUUCAUUAAUUGGAGAAGGAUCUUGGGAUGCAAAGAGUAAUCGGCUUUGUAUCAUUGCUUGCCGAAUUUAUGAUGCAUGGAGCUCCUUGGAGAAGUCUCAUGUUGGAGACUGCACGACACGGUUGAGCUUAAGAUUCCCGGCAAUCUUGUCUAUCAGAAACACAAGCACCAUUGUAGGAGAAAUUUGGAGUGAGAAGCCUAGGAAUGAAGGUGGUUUCUUUGAUAGGGUCGAGUUCCGAAAUACUGGACGUUAUGGAGGACGAAUUCAACUUCAAGGUUUGAAGUAUGUAUACACGGAAAUGGCCGAAGUGAAGAAAUCAUGUCCAAAGAAGAAUCCUAAGACUAAAAGCAGUAGGGGACACUACCCAGAUGGCUAUUCUGGUAAUCUGGGUUUUAGAAUGUCGAUCAUCAAAGGUUCCAAAGGAAGAAUCGGAUGGGGUUCUUCGGUUCCUCUUGCGGUAGGUGAUCAGCAAGAUCAGAGAUUUCCAUCUCUAAUACCAUCCUCAAGCUCAAAGCCUAAAAGUUCUCGCGUUGAAUCCGAUUCCAGCAGUGGCUUGCUUAAUAUCAGCUAUAAAAUGAGUAUCAUGCUGCGUAGUUCGGAAUUGGAUGGUGGCCUUAAUACGGUUAACGAAUCUUCAAAUGAAUAUUUGAAAACAGAAAUCCGAAUUUCUGCUGAAGGGGUUUAUGAUACAGCAACAGGUAGCCUAUGCAUGGUUGGCUGCAGACAUUUAAGGUCAGGUGACAAAACAUUUUCAAGCCAUUCGAUGGAUUGCAAGAUCCUGGUGAAAAUCAAUUUUCCUCCAUUGAACUCGGACAGGAGAAGUACGAUCAAAGGAAGCAUCGAAAGCACACGUGAAGAAAUCGAUCCUCUGUCCUUCAAGCCCCUGCAGUUUUCGGGAAGAGCUUAUUAUCGCAGUUGGGUUACGGAAUCAAUUUGGAGAAUGGAUUUCGAGAUGGACAUGUUGGUAAUAUCCNNNNNNNNNNNNNNNNNNNNNNNNNNNNNNNNNNNNNNNNNNNNNNNNNNNNNNNNNNNNNNNNNNNNNNNNNNNNNNNNNNNNNNNNNNNNNNNNNNNNUUCAUGUCAGGAAGCACCGUGGCAUUGGUCCUUUGGUUUCACUUCUAAUGCUUGUUAUUCUAGCCCUGGGGCACUUGAUCCCUUUGGUUCUAAACCUCGAAGCAAUGUUCAUUCAAGAUAGCAAGAGAUCGGUCUUGAUUAGAGGUGGAAGGUGGCUCGAAAUGAACGAGAUUAUCAUUAGAGUCGUUACCAUGGUGGCUUUUCUGCUGCAAGUCCGUCUUCUGAUGCUCUCAUGGACUGCUA